rnacentral:rRNA from 1 species
CGGAACGUGCCCAAUCGUGGGGGAUAACGCAGCGAAAGCUGUGCUAAUACCGCAUACGAUCUACGGAUGAAAGCAGGGGACCGCAAGGCCUUGCGCGAAUGGAGCGGCCGAUGGCAGAUUAGGUAGUUGGUGAGGUAAAGGCUCACCAAGCCUUCGAUCUGUAGCUGGUCUGAGAGGACGACCAGCCACACUGGGACUGAGACACGGCCCAGACUCCUACGGGAGGCAGCAGUGGGGAAUUUUGGACAAUGGGCGAAAGCCUGAUCCAGCAAUGCCGCGUGCAGGAUGAAGGCCUUCGGGUUGUAAACUGCUUUUGUACGGAACGAAACGGUUCUUUCUAAUAAAGAGAGCUAAUGACGGUGCCGUAAGAAUAAGCACCGGCUAACUACGUGCCAGCAGCCGCGGUAAUACGUAGGGUGCAAGCGUUAAUCGGAAUUACUGGGCGUAAAGCGUGCGCAGGCGGUUAUGUAAGACAGUUGUGAAAUCCCCGGGCUCAACCUGGGAAUUGCAUCUGUGACUGCAUAGCUAGAGUACGGUAGAGGGGGAUGGAAUUCCGCGU